rnacentral:sRNA from 1 species
UCAGAACCUGUCUCCUAUAUGCAUAUCUAUCAGAAUUAAAUAGGGACCGUACAACUCUCGUCCUUGCCAGUACGUGUGCGUGAUCCAGGCAAUGUCAAGUACGCCCACCGCUUACUAUUGCUAAUAUUCACCCUUAACAUCCGCUAGCCCAGUCCGUAACAAUGCAAGAUAACUGCCACCAUUAACAGUCUACGAUUUCAGUCUGUAAGCAGAAUUAAAUUGAGUGCAUUCAACAACAACACAACAGAAAACGAAACGAAACGAAACCAAAAGUAAAUGCGAAAUACUACAAAAAUCUGUUACAAGUUCGAAUAAACCCGCAGCAAAGAUACUCCGAAAAUGAGGCGCACUCUUUGGCACAUGCUCACGGCCCAGCUCCUGCUCCUGGUACUCUGUUCGCUGCUCUCUCUCUGCUCCGGCGGCAAUAUGCAUCCUUUGAAAGUGGGCAAAAACUAUGCGUCGCUGCACAACCAGCCCAAGGACUUUCGCUCUUUAGUGAUGGAUAUUAGCAAGUUUGUUCUCACUAUUGUGAGCAGAACGCGUUGAGUCACGUUUUUUUUUGUUUAUUGUUAAUUUUUUUUGAGCACGUAUUCCUUAUUUAUAGAAAGCAAAAGCUUUUUCCUCCAUCUAAUCUGUCCAAAGAUCUGACUAGUACCAUAUCUAUUACUAAGCUGGCGUCGAGAUUUGAAUUCCAAUCUGAGUCCUGCCCCCCAUUCAAUUCAGAGUUCCAAAAUUCUCCAUUAAAGACCGACAGAAAGGCCAGCGACCAGCAGAUCAGUGCAGAGACCGACAAUCAUUGCCAAAGCAACGCAAAGCCUGGCCUCGAACUGAAUUUACAAUAAAAAUUCUUAAUUCUUGGUACAAAAAUUUCUGUAUUUAGCUGAUGAAAAUAAUUU